GAAACCUUCUCCCAGCUCCAUCCCCAACCCUCAUUCCUAGACCUCUGUUUCCAGAAGAAUCUUUUCUACCUGGUUCCAAUCCCACACACUGAAGCAGUGAAAAGAUCAAAAAGAAGAUCACAGGAUAAGCCUUGCUUUAGCCAGAAGGCUUGAGGCCCAUCUCCAGGGAGCAUUUAAACAAGAGCUGGGAUCCCACCCUAGGAACAAAGCCCUCUCUCCUCCAAGACUUGGAGCCUGGCUUCAAGUCUGAGUUCUGUCCCUCUGUGGCCUUGGGUGGUUUCCUUACCAUCUCUGGGUCUCUGUUUCCUGAUUGUUAAAAUAAGACUGCUGGACUGGUACCUUCUGUCUGUGGCUUUCCAGGAUUCUGACCAACCUGGUUUGGCACCUCUUGGUGUUUG
rnacentral:lncRNA from 1 species